rnacentral:rRNA from 2 species
AGGGCGCCUGAGUCGGCAGUGGCAGACGCGAAACCAAGUGAUCUACCCUUGACCAGGUUGAAGGCUGGGUAACACCAGCUGGAGGACCGAACCAAUAAGCGUUGAAAAGCUUCUGGAUGAGUUGAGGGUAGGGGUGAAAGGCUAAUCAAACUUGGAGAUAGCUCGUACUCCCCGAAAUGCAUUUAGGUGCAGCCUUGCGGGUUACUGAUGUGAGGUAGAGCGACUGAUAAGAUGCGAGGGCUUCACCGCCUAUCAAGUCUUGACAAACUCCGAAUGCGCAUCAGUUUUACCGCAGGAGUGAGGGCAUGGGUGCUAAGGUCCGUGCCCGAGAGGAGAAGAAUCCGGACCACCUGCUAAGGUCCCGAAAUGACAGCUAAGUUAAACUAACGAAGUCGGACUGCCAUGACAGCUAGGAUGUUGGCUUGGAAGCAGCCAUUCAUUUAAAGAGUGCGUAACAGCUCACUAGUCGAGGAGUCCGGCGUGGAUAAUAAUCGGGUAUGAAGUUGUCUACCGAAGCAGUGGGAUCAUGUAAAUGAUCGGUAGGGGAGCAUUCCACCCGGCGUCGAAGGCGUACCGUGAGGUAUUCUGGAGCGUGUGGAAAAGCAAAUGUAGGUAUAAGUAACGAUAAAGCAGGUGAGAAACCUGCUCGCCGCAAGACCAAGGUUUCCUGAUCAACGCUAAUCGGAUCAGGGUCAGUCGGGUCCUAAGGCUCAGCCGAACGGCGAGGCCGAUGGCAGAAACGGUUAAUAUUCCGUUACUACCUUUACGGGCGAUGUGGAGACGCAGAAGUGACAGUGCCGCCAUCUGACGGAAUAGAUGGUUGAAGGGUGUAGAAGCUGAUCGUGGCAGGCAAAUCCACCACGUGAUUCGAACCUGACAGUAUGCCGCGUCCUCCGGGACAAGGCAAUAGUGCACGUAAUCAUACUGCCGAGAAAAUCCGCUAAGCUAUACCGUAAAGGUACCCGUACCGUAAACGGACACACGUGGUCGGGAUGAAUAUUCUAAGGCGCUUGAGUGAUUCACGGUUAAGGAACUAGGCAAACUGACCCUGUAACUUCGGGAUAAAGGGUCCCUCCUCGCAAGAGAGGGCGCAGAGAAUAGGUCCAGGCAACUGUUUAACAAAAACACAGGGCUGUGCAAAAUCGAAAGAUCCGGUAUACAGCCUGACACCUGCCCGGUGCUGGAAGGUUAAGAGGAGACGUCAUCGCAAGAGAAGCGUUGAAUUGAAGCCCCAGUAAACGGCGGCCGUAACUAUAACGGUCCUAAGGUAGCGAAAUUCCUUGUCGGGUAAGUUCCGACCUGCACGAAUGGUGUAAUGAUCUGGACGCUGUCUCAACCGUGAGCUCAGUGAAAUUGUAGUAUCGGUGAAGAUGCCGAUUACCCGCGAUGGGACGAAAAGACCCCGUGAACCUUUACUAUAGCUUAUCAUUGAAUUUGGGCACGUGAUGUGUAGGAUAGGUCGGAGGCUUUGAAGCAGGUACGCCAGUAUUUGUGGAGCCGCUGUUGAAAUACGACCCUUCAUUUGUUUGAGUUCUAACUCGUGAUGCGAGGACACUGAUUGGUGGGUAGUUUGACUGGGGUGGUCGCCUCCAAAAGUGUAACGGAGGCUUCUAAAGGUGCCCUCACGGCGAUUGGUAACCGCCGGGAGAGUGUAAUGGCAUAAGGGCGCUUGACUGGGAGACUCACAAGUCGAGCAGGUAGGAAACUAGAGCAUAGUGAUCCGGUGUUUCCGUAUGGAAGGGACAUCGCUCAAAGGAUAAAAGGUACUCCGGGGAUAACAGGCUGAUCCCUCCCAAGAGCUCAUAUCGACGGAGUGGUUUGGCACCUCGAUGUCGGCUCGUCACAUCCUGGGGCUGGAGAAGGUCCCAAGGGUUGGGCUGUUCGCCCAUUAAAGUGGCACGCGAGCUGGGUUCAGAACGUCGUGAGACAGUUCGGUCUCUAUCUAUCGUGGGCGUAUGAAAUUUGCGUGGCUCUGACACUAGUACGAGAGGACCGUGUUGGACUGACCUCUGGUUUACCGGUUGUGCCGCCAGGUGCAUCGCCGGGUAUCCAAGUCGGGAUCGGAUAAGUGCUGAAAGCAUCUAAGUACGAAGCCGGCCACAAGAUUAGAUUUCUCAGGGUCGUUGCAGACGACGACGUUGAUAGGAUGCAGGUGUAAAGAUGGAGACAUCAAAGCCGAGCAUUACUAAUUGCCCGUCCACUUUCUUUA